rnacentral:misc_RNA from 1 species
GUAAUUUGUUAAUUGAGACGAGGCCGAAGCCCCGAAUGCGACAUUCGAUAUACUUUGUGGUUUGUGUGUAGCGGGCACGGCCCGGGCGCUAACCCGGACCCUCCCGAAAAAGUGUGCACGGUGGUUUGGUUGUGGACGAGGCGAACGGGCGCCCGCAGCACGGCGUCGCCGCCGGUGCAGUAACCCGAACUCCCCUAGAAGUUUCAAUAAUGAUCCUUCCGCAGGUUCACCUACGGAAA